rnacentral:lncRNA from 1 species
UUGUGGUUUGUUUUAUUUUUAUUUUUACUCUGUAGGGCGCCUGAGAAAAUAAAUUAAGGAUUCUCUCUCUCAUUCUCCAUGUUCCUGCAACUUGGCUUUCUCUCUCGUAGAUUUAUGCCCUCGCACUGGCUACUGCCACCCUUUUCCAGUGGUGAUUUAGCCCCGAUUCAUGCUCAACACCCGGAUUAAGAAGCAACAAAGGCCCGGGUAAGAUUGUCUCUAAUCCCAACAUUGAAAGCUAAUUCCGAGGGUGUGCUUGAAAGGAAUGGGUUGACGUAUGGACGACUGCAGAAACGAAUGAAUGGCUGGAUGGAUGGAUGGCUUGGUGCAUGGUAAGAAGCGGGCUAAUCAGGGUGCUUCUGAAAAAACAAGGGUGCAACAUGAAUGUUUGUACUCGUAUUUCUGCUACCCGUAUUUCUCCUAAAUACCAGUGAUUUUAUCCUUGUAUAUAUGUAAAUAUUCUUCCUCUCCCUGUCACUGAAUACAUGUUUCCGCCUCUUUUUAUCUGUAUAUCAUUCCAUCCCUUUAUAAUAUAUUUCUGUCUCUCACUCUCAUCAUCGCUCUGUUUGUCAAUCUCUCUCUCUCUCCCUCUUUAGCCAUCACUCUAUCUUUUCCUAACUCUCUCUCUCCUCCGCAUCUACCGAUCGUUUGUGUUUUCGUAUUGUGUCUAUCCAUUAGAAAUACCUUAUCUACGAAAGCAUCCAUUGUAGACGAACGAUCAAAGAAGGUCCCUCGCCUAUGCAAACGAUUUCAAUCACUGAACAUUCUAGCUUUGUGUCCUUAUCCUAUAUACACGUUUACUGAGACACACAAGACACGCAUAUAUUUAUAUAUACCCGCCCCAAUCAAUCGGUUUUCAUUACCAUCAUCUCACUAGUAACCCGCUCAAAAUAUAUGAUGUAAAGCAGUAUUUAAUGGACAAUACUGAUAUAUAUAUAUAUAUAUAUAUAUAUAUAUAUAUAUAUAUAUAUAUAUAUAUAUAUACAUACAUACAUACAUAUGUAUAUAUAUAUAUAUAUAAUGUGUGUGUGUUGUAUGUCUAUGUCUGUAUAUAUAUAUAUGUGUGUUUGAAUAUAUGUAUAUAUGUAUAUAUUAUAUGUAUACCUAUCUACCUGCCUAUCUGUAUUUCUCCCUCUCGUUUUCUUGAUAGAUAGAUUAACAUCUACAUAUGCAUAUAUACAUAUAUUUAUACGUAUACAAACGCAUAUGUAUGUAAUAUGUGUGUGUACCUUAUAUAUACAUAUAUAUAUACAUAUAUAUAUAUAUAUAUAUAUAUAUAUAUAUAUAUAUAUAUAUAUAUAUAUAUGUAUGUAUGUAUAUAUAUGUAUAUAUAUAUAGUACGUGUGUGCAUAAAUAUGUGUGAAUGUAUAGGUGUUUGUGUGUGUAUGUAUAAUAAUUUAAAUAGUUGUACUUCUGAAAUGUUAUUAAGUCCACUGGUGAUGUUUAAGCAUUAUAGAAGCCUUAAGGUCUUUAUUUUCUUUCACUAAAGGUCUCUCCAUGACUUUUAGUUCCCAAAAUCCCAAAUCCAAGAACUGUUUCCAUUCUAAAGUAAUUCUGUUAAAAUAGUAAAGUUUGAGUUAGAACUCUUAAAUAAACAAAAAUUUGCCAAUUUUUGCGAUGCACAACAGUUUAGGAACGGUCAGUCCAGUUGUCAAUUGUAUUUUGAAAUUCUGACACCAAAUGCAUCAAAAGUGUUUUGUUGGUUAUUUUUUUUUAUCAUGUCACAGUCCAAUUCAGUGUUGCCACUCAUCACAUCCUGUGAUGCACCUUGACACAUCAUCAGUGAUGUUUCCAAGGGUCAUUAGGUGUUUUGGGUCUUUUAACCCUUUUGUUACCAACGCAGCCGAAACCAGCUCUGGCUCUGUAGUACAAAUGUCUUGUUUUCAUAAGUUUUGAAUUAAAAUCUUCCACCAAACCUUAGUCACAAUUUAUGUUCCUGACACUAAGCUUAAUGAUAACUAAGUUAUUUUACUGAAUUCUUUGUUAUAUUUAAAGUAAUUGAUAGAAACACAGAGCAUCUCAACAGAAAUACAGUAACAAAAAGGUUAGCAAUCUGACAUCUCAUCCAGGCAACCCAUUCAGAGUUGCUCCAGCCCCAGCUUGGGUCCAGUUAGCACUGCCCCUUCCAGGCCCCUGUGAUUCUCAACAAAUUAUAAGCCCUCUUUAGUGGAUAUUAGGACCAAGAGCAGCCAAAGAAUCUGUGGGAGGAUACCAUGUUGGUAAAUCCAAGCCUUAACCUUUAGUAUUUAAACUGGCCAGAUCCGGUCCAAAUAUUUUAUCUUUUAUGUUCAAAAGAUCUGGCUUCUCAUACCUACCCUACAAUGUCAUUCUAAAUAUAAACAAUUGCAUUACUGAAAUUUCAAAGCUACGAGAUAAUUUAUGAUUAAUUAAAAAAAAAAGAUUCGAGCGAAGUUGUUGCCAGUACCGCCUGACUGGCCCCCAUGCCAGUGGCACGUAAAAGGCACCCGCUACACUCUCGGAGUGGUUGGCGUUAGGAAGGGCAUCCAGCUGUAGAAACUCUGCCAAAUCAAGAUUGGAGCUUGGUGCAGCCAUCUGGUUUGCCAGCCCUCAAUCAAAAUCGUCCAACCCAUGCUAGCAUGGAAAGCAGACAUUAAACGAUGAUGAUGAUGAAUUUGAAUAAAUAAGCAUUAGAUUUGAGAGGGUCAUCCAAGUGCUGAAGGAUUAAACUUGCUGGGAAAAUAUGACUUGUCCACUGUGGAUAGCCAGGCCUCCAAUUCCUUGUUGGUUUCACAGAUGGAUUAUGUGUUUCCUCAGGCUGCUAUGAAAUGCUUUUCCCAGGUUCUUCACUGGUCACUCCAUGAUGGUUGGUAUCUCUACAUUACCAACCAAGAAGCCGAGCCUGUUUCCAACUUUAUAUUUCUGAAGCUAACCAAGCUAAAGAUCAGGACUUCACUGGUUUAAAACUCAUACAAACCCAAAUCAUCAACUCUUCAAGGCUCUAAAGGGUCUUCUGCCCUUCAUAAUUGAUGUUAUUAUCACAGGUAGUCUAUAAAAGCCCCAAAUAGGGGGCUGCUGAACACUUGACUUAGUGGGUGGUCCUUGACACUGAACUUUCACCAAAUUUACCAAGAUGUUCAGUGCAAGCACAAAAAGGGUCACUGAAAUGGCACAUCCAAUGAUAACACCCCUUCUUGAGCUUGUGCCACUCUGGUAUUGUUGAAGCAGCAGGGACUCUCAGAGUGAAGCUGCUGCAAUAGUCAAGAAUGAGAUCUCUGAACUUGGUCCCUAUUCAGAGCCCCUUCAACCAGCUUAUGAUGUAGUUGUUGUUGUUGUUAAGCAACAAGAUGGGUAAGGGUGAUUAGGUGAUGGUCUAGGGCUUAGGGGCGGGAGACCCCAGACCUUGGGAAAAAAAAAAAAACUUUGGUCGUCUUGUUGUAGUCGAGGGCUCUUUGUUGAUGCCCGACACCACUAGGAAGUGGCCCUCGAAGUCGCUGGAAAUGGAGAUCUCCAGGUCCAAGUUCUUGAACGGCACUUAUGAUGUAUGGACUCUUUGGUGUUCACAAGAUCCUGCAAUAAUACUGUUAAAUCCCCUUUAUUUUCUUAGGCUUCCUUGGUUAAUGAGUUAAUCACACCUAAGUGUUCCAGACACCCUAACACCUUUAGGAUUCCUCCUUUCUGAACUGAAAUGCCAAUUUACAAAUUCCUCUGGAGGUAGUUCAUCUGGUGCUUAGCAACAACAGGGCAAGAGCUCUUCUCCUUUGAUUCCCUUUUUACAGGUGCAUGCUUAGAAUUGGUCCUUUCACAUUGGCCAUUCUUCCAACAUUCACCCACCUUUCAACAAACCUUCCUCUCCACCCUCACCUUUUCAAGUGAAAAAGUUGAUGAGGGCUUGGCCAAAGAGGAAAGUGCCUGUCUUUAGCCCUUUCAAACGGGUCCACCAUACUACCACUUUUGCUGCAGCCACUAGACGAAUAAUAAUAAUAAUAAUAAUAAUAAUAAUAAUCAGUACUGAUUGGAACUGCAAGAAUUCUUUGCAGGGUUCUUGAAGCAUGACCAGUAAAACAAGUGUCACCUUAGUCUGCUGGCUGUGGACAGCUGACACUUUCCAUCAUACCCAGCAAAACGAGCUGUGAGCUUUCGUAUAAUGAUAAUAAUAAUAAUAAUAAUAAUAAUAAUAUUAAUAAUAAUAAUAAUAAUAAUAAUAAUUUCUGCUGUAGGCACAAAGCCUGAAAUUUGAGGUAGGGACUAGUCGAUUACAUCGACCCCAGUGUUCAACUGGUACUUAAUUUAUCGAAUCUGAAAGGAUGAAAGAUAAAGCCGACCUUGGUGGAAUUUGAACUCAGUACAUAGCAACAGGUGAAAUACCACCAGGUAUUUUAUCCAGCGCACUAACGAUCCUGCCAGCUUACCACCUUAAUAAUAAUAAUAAUAAUAAUAAUGAUGAUGAUGAUGAUGAUGAUGAUGAUGAUUGUUUCAAAUUUUAGCUCAGGGCCAGCAGUUUUUGAAGGGAGGGCGAAGUUGAUUACACUGAGCCCAGUCAGUGGUCAACUGGUACUUUUUUAUCUCCCCCCCCACCAAAAAAAAAGAUCAAACAUGAAAUAGACCUUGGAGGAGUUUGAACUUAAAAUGUAAAAAGGGAUGAAAUGCUGUUAAGCAUUUUGUUUGACGUGCUAAAGAUUGUGCCAGUUUACCGCCUCAAUAACGAUAUUAGUGAUGGUGGUGGUAGUUGCUGUUGUUAUUUCUAAUACAGGCAGAAGGCCAGCAAUUUUGAAGGGAAGGGUUUAAUCAAUAUUAUUGACCCCCAGUACUUGAUUAUUCCAUUAUUUUAUCAGCCCUUUGAAAAAAAAAUGAAAGGCACAGCUCAACAUCAUCAUCACCAUCACCAUCGUUUAACGUCCGUUUUCCAUGCUGGCAUGGGUUGGACGGUUCAACUGGGAACUGGCAAGCCAGGGGGGGGGCUACACCGGGCUCCAAUCUGAUCAAGCAAAGUUUCUACAGCUGGAUGCCCUUCCUAAUGCCAACCACUCCGAGAGUGUAGUGGGUGCUUUUUACGUGCCACCAGCACAGGAGCCAGUCAGGUGGGCCUGGUAUUGAUUACGUUCGGAUGGUGCUUUUUUACGUGCCACUGGCACAGGCGCCAGUCAGGGGGUAAAUAUUAACAAAAGUAAUAAUAAUGCAAAUGAGCUUACUGUAUACUGGGCUUAGCUGCUCUAAAACUUAUCAAAAGGGGUAAAAGAGGGAACAGAAUGCAGAUGUUUAAGUGAAGUAAAGAAAGCCAAAAGUACAGGGUUAGGGUUAGGGAUAAAUCUUAAAAAGACAGAAAAGGGAAAAGCAAGAGACCCUGAACCCUUUCGUUACUGUUGAGAUGUUCCAUGUUUCUUUCAAUUAAUUUUAAAUAUAAGAAAGAAUUUAGUAAAAUAACUUAGUUAUCAUUAAGCUAGUGUUAGGAACAUAAAUUGUGACUAAGGUUUGGUGGAAGAUUUUAAUUCAGAACUUAGGAAAACAAGACAUUUGAACUCAGAGCCAGAACUGGUUUCAGCCAGGUUGGUAUCAAAAGGGUUAAGAAUUGUUUCUCUAUUAUAUAUUUUAACCCUUUUGUUACCAUAUUUCUGUUGAGAUGCUCUGUGUUUCUUUCAAUUAAUUUUAGAUAUAACAAAGAAUUUAGUAGAAUAACUUGGUUAUCAUUCAGCUAGUGUUAGGAACAUAAAUUGUGACUAAGGUUUGGUGGAAGAUUUUAAUUCAGAACUUAUGAAGACAAGACAUUUGUACUCGGAGCCAGACCCGGUUUCAGCUAGGUUGGUAUUAAAAGGGUUAAGAAUUGUUUCCCUAUUAUAUAUUUUAACCCUUUUGUUACUGUAUUUAAUUAAAAACUUAUGCAAACAAGACAUUUGUACUCAGAGCCAGAACCGGUUUCAGCCGGGUUAGUAUCAGAAGAGUUAAAGAGGAUGUGAUGCAUAGGUAUGUCAGGGGAUGUGUUGGGUAUUUCAGGAAGCAUAGAAUUUUUGAGGGAUGCUGUGUCCUGACUGCUAACAACUGAUGCAGGUAGUUUAUUCCAUGCUUUGGCAAUUGUGAGUGUGGAAAAAUGUUUCUGAAAGUCAUGGGUGCUGAUCUGUCUUUUUUUUUUAUAUAUUUUCUGUGAUGCUGCAUGGAAGAAAAUACACAAAGUUGUUGGACUGGAUUGGGUUAAACUAUGAGCUAUGACAUCACGGAACUUUCCUAAGGUUCUAUAAAGAAGAAAGGAAUGGGGGAAAGGGGAAAAGUCAUUGAAUGCUCUUUUACUUGUUUUAGUCAUUUGACUGUGGCCAUGCUGGAGCACCGCCUUUAGUCGAGCAAAUCGACCCCGGACUUAUUCUUUGGAAGUCUAGUACUUAUUCUAUCGGUCUCUUUUGCCAAACCGCUAUGUUAUGGGAACAUAAACACACCAGCAUCGGUUGUCAAGCGAUGUUGGUGGGGGGGGGGGGGGGGGGACAAACACAGACACACACAAACAUAUACACACACAUACAUAUCUAUAUACAUAUAUACGACAGGCUUCUUUCGGUUUCCGUCUACCAAAUCCACUCACAAGGCUUUGGUUGGCCCAAGGCUAUAGUAGAAGACACUUGCCCAAGGUGUCACGCAGUGGGACUGAACCCGGAACCAUGUGGUUGGGAAGCAAGCUACUUACCACACAGCUACUCCUGAAUAUAAAAUAGGCAACAGAUGGUGUCUUGGAAAAUGGGUUUAAUUUGUUGAGACUCUGUGUGUGUGUGUUUACAUAUUCUCUGAGUUUCGUGAGCCACAAGUAGUGAUGUUGACUUUUGUCAUGUCAAAAAAGUCAUCCACCGCUUCUCACCUUUGAAGACGUGUGAAACAAGAGAUUCCUUGCUUGGAACACAAGUAAAGGUUAAUGGCAGGGAGAGUAUAUGGUAUUGAAGCAAUGUGCAUCAAUAAUAAUGCAUUCAUCUAACCCAUGCUAGCAUGGCAAAACAGACAUAAAACAAAUGAAUGAACAUAUGUUUAUGGGUCUGAAAUUAAACAUUAAGGAGGUCAGUCAUACAAUAAAGAAUUCAAUACGCUGGGGUAUGCUGUAAAGUAGUUUGAUCUUUGAAGAUUGCCUGAUAAAUGGCACCAGUGUUUCAAAAAUUGCAAUUUCCCCUCCUGGAAGAGAAUUGUAGAAUUUAAACAUUGGUUCUGUUUGUUGGACAUUUACCAAAAUUGAAGAAGUAACACUGUAAUUUAAGUUAUUUUCUGCUGUCCACAAGGUAAUCUGUAUACUCAGAAAUAAGGUGGGGGCUAAGGGUCCCCCCCACUUGGACCUACAUUCACAGAGUUGUACAUGACUAAUGCAGAAGAAAAAAGUUGUUUGCAAAUAUAACCACACAGUUUCACCAGAUAUCUUAAUGACUGAUUUAUUCAUCACUGUUGUGGCUGUGUGGUAAGAAGCUUGCUUCUUGACCACAUAGUUCUGGGUUCAGUCCCACUGUGUGACACCUUGAGAGAGUGUCUUCUACUAUAGUCUCAGGCCAACCAAAGCCUUGUGGGUGGAUUUGGUAGAUGGAAACUGAAAGAAGCCCGGAACCAUGUGGUUGGAAAGCAAGCUUCUUACCACAGAGCCACUCCUUGUGACCGUGUGUGUACCGUUGGCGAUUUUUUUCCCUCUGUCUUCUCUUCGCUGGAUCUUUCCUUCUAUGUUUCUGAUGAAGAGCUCCACUCGAAACGUUAAACCCUCCUUCUUUCCUUCCUUCCUGAGCGUCCAAUAACACUAUAUUUGUUCCACGUCCUCGCGUUGUUGUGUUUUUUUGUGCUUUCUUGUUUGGAUUAACUAUAUAUAUAUAUAUAUAUAUAUAUAUAUAUAUAUAUAUAUAUAUAUAUAUAUAUAUAUAUAUAUAUAUAUAUAUAUAUAUAUAUAUAUAUAUAUAUAUAUAAUAAGUGUUCCCAUAGAUACAAAAUAUUUGUAGUCAAAUCCCUUCUUGCAAAGUUUUACAUUUUCAUCCCCUGAAGGAGCUUUAAAUAAGGAAAUCUUACACUUAAAACAAACAUAAGUUAAUCAUGAUUACCCUCAUAAAGUAACAGACGAAGCUAUAGAACAAUCCAAGAGCAAAUAUGCCCAUAGUGAUAUAUACGGAUACAAACCCAACUAAAAGUACAUAAACCACAUAAAUUGUAUAUUACAAGAGUCAAAUGCAAUUUGGUAAUAAAAUGAAUAAAUCAUUAAAAAACUGAACAGAACCUGUACCAAACCAAACUACAAGUGCAUAGCUAGAAAAUAUUACAAUAACUAAAAAUCUCUUCAUUUAUAUGAAACCACAAACCAGCAAUCCACAGGGUGUACUGCAGACAGUCAACGUAAUAUAGAAGUCUCAAUGUAAACACAAAAGUUGUAAACUUCAUGACUCAGACUGUUACACUGAUUACGCAAGUACAGCACUUUCUCACACAUUUCCAUCAAGGAAUUCAUAACACUGUACAUAAAAUGAAUUACGAUAGAAAAAACAGUAGUUGACUGUAAGGACUAAAGGUUUAUAUUAAAUAACAAAGUAAGCUUUAUUUGUGGUGAAAUGCAAACCAUAAAGCCUAACCUAGCUAUGUCACAUGUAAAAUAAACCUUGACAUCUGCAAGGACUAAAUGACGGAACAAUUUUGAAAUCUGGCAUUGAGGAUUUUAUUGUUUAUAACAAUAUUCCCAUGAUGCAUUGCAACUUACAUUUUGUCUAUCAUGUUUCUUUACAUCACUAAAUAUUAGGUUGUCCCAAAAGUUCGUAAACACUUGCGAAAAUUGAAUUUUUACUUGCCAAGUACUAACAAAAACAACAAAAAUUAUUCCUCAAAAUAAAGACCAUUAUUUUCCAAGACUUUCUACGAACUUUUGGGACAACCUUAUAUAAAGUCUGUCUGUGUGUCUAUCAUUCUAAUACACCAACGAAGAUAAAUAAAUCAAUCAUUUUUUUUUUCAUUUUCCUGUCUUAAAAUUAAAAAUUUUUCUAAAUUCAUUUUUCUUUUUCUUUUUAAUGUAUUUUUCAGGUAAUUACUGUCCUGUCGGCAAUCAAUUAACUACGGUAGCAGCAACAACAGUAAUAUUACCAACAGCAACAACAACAACAACAGGAAGUGGUUCAAGCAUGUAAUCAAGGAAUUGUUUGGUUUGUUGACUAGAAUCUCUCCAGUGAUAUUUUGACUUUAAAGAACACAACUCAGACACUUUAACGGGACGUAGCUCCAUCACAUGUUGGUUUUUUCGCCAGUGUCUCAGCUUUGAGUUUGGCCGCAGCCCCUGAGAUGAGUUCCACUUUCUCCCUCUCCGAUGGGAUGGUCUUUUCUCCGACCACACCGUCAGAUAAAUCCGAUAUCGAAUUAGCAAUGUCGUCAGUGGAGGAGGUCAGCUUCCAUCAACAGCAACAGCCGAGUCAGGUGAAGGACGAGCUGACCACCGGCCACAACCACAACAACCACCCUCACCAUCAUCCUACCAACAACACCUGUUGCAAUAACAAUAAUAACAAUAAUAAUAACAAUAACAACAACAACAACAACAACAGCCAUCAGCAUCCUCCGUGCUGUAACCAGGGCAACAGGUCGUCAUACAGCCUCUGCCAUCAACAGCAGAGCAGUUGUUGCUGUAGCUUGGACUGUCAGAGCUGUAGCCAGACCAAUUGCAGCCAGUGUUGCAUGGCUCAGAGGAGCCACCAGCAUUAUGUGGUGCAGCCGGAAAAGUUGCACACAUGUGAUGUGUGCGGUAAGGGCCUCUCCCGGCGUGACCACCUCAAACUACACAAGAGAAUCCACUCCGGAGAACGUCCGUACAAGUGUGACGUGUGCAGCUACACAUUCUAUCGCAAGGAUCACCUGCUCCGACACCAGCGCCGCAACAACUGUCGCCGGAAGACGGAAAUCGGUGUGACAUCGCUUCCAUCCCCCGGUGGGCAACGAGAAAUGGCACACAGUGCCGGCAGUAGCAUCGGUCACUCAGGUCGGGUACCGGAGGGCAGCCAGGUGUGGCAGGGACACCAGAAGCCACUACCACCACAACCACUGAAGAUGGAGAGAUCACCCGACAAUUCCCUGCGCUACAACCAUAACACUGAUGAGUGCAACCAGAUGCAGCAGUCGCAACAUUCGAUGCACAAACUCGUUAUUCCUCAUUAUACAAACAGUUAAUUUCAUAACAGACAUAUACAUGUAUGCACGUACUAUAUAUACAUAUACACACAAAUAUAUAAAUGGUAUAUAUACAUGGAU